ensembl:lncRNA
UUAAUGAAGUAUCUACCUAUAUCAAUCUAUCGAUCUAUGUUCUUCUCUCACAGGGUGAGGGCAUUCAGGAGUUUUUGGAGGAGGGCACGGCUCUGGACCCUAGGUUCAAGGGAAUGGUAGAGGAUGCUGUGUGGUACAGACUGGAGGAGGAGUUAAUCGAUCGAGCCUCACACCAGAACAGAGGUGAAACUGCCCAGGCCCAGCAGCUGGUGGACGAUGGGGACAGCUCAUGCGAUGAAGCCAGUUCAGCUGCAACAGAGAAAUGGACAAAGCUGUCUGCACUGGAGGAGUUGUUCAUGGAUGAGGACAUAGAGGUGGGAGAGCGGAAUUACCCAAUUGCGAGCCAAAGGGAUAAGGUGAAAGAAGAAAUCCGCCACUACAGAGGUUUGCCAUCAACUUUGUCAACUGUUGAUCCAGUGAACUGGUGGUGGGACAUGCGGAUCACCCUACCAGCACUAUCAAGCUUGGCUGCAAGGUACAUCUGUGUUCAGGCGUCAGCGACACCAUCAGAGCGCACCUUUUCAACGGCUGGCGACACAAUCAGCCAGGAGCGGGCCUGUCUGUUGCCAGACAAGGCAGACAUGCUGAUCUUUCUCAAAAAAAACUGUUGAGUGACUGUUGUCAUGCAGUUCGGACUCUUUGGACAUUUGUUUGCAUCAGUUUUUGUCUUUGUUAUUAUUAUUGUUCCAUUGUUAUUUAUUCAUUCAUUAUUAUAACUGAGUGCCCUCGACUAG